rnacentral:lncRNA from 1 species
GGGGGGGAGGCUGGGGAGCCCCUCCCAUCACAGCCCCCCCUCUCCCUCUGUGUCUCUGGGUUUGUGGGGGGUUGUCUUUGUUUGUGUGGGGGUGUCAGGGUGAGCUUGGGGCUUUCCUGCGAGGGCCUCCCCCCUCCCCAGAGAGUGGGUGUGUGUGAAAUAGCUGGGGAAGAGAGAAAGGGAGGGGGCUCUCCUCCCCCCCUUCUGCCCUCUCUCCUUAUUUAUUUAAUUUAUAUGCCGCCCACACUACCCAAAGGUCUCUGGGCGGCUUACAGCAUUUAAAAUACAAUAAAGAUAUGUAACAAUUAAAAUAUAUAUAAAAUUGCCAUCGGACCCUAAUGUGCUCUUUGUCCUCUUUGUUGUGUGAAGGUUUGGUCUAAUUAGCACUAAAACAAGCCCUCUGUAAAUAAAUCUCUGGAAUCAACGCAUUCAUUCCUUCAUACCCACGACGUACCUGUUCAAUCCAGGCAAGGGCUCUCAGGAGCCGGUGGGCUCCCCCGUCCCGGCUGGGGAGUGUUUGGGGGACGGAGGGCAGGAAAGUCUCUCUUCAUGUCGGGAAAGGGAUGGAGGAUUAAAUGUGGGUCAUCUUUUUCUCCUUCCCGCUUCAAGUGUCCCUUGAGGAGGUUGACCCCGUAUUGCCCCCAACUCAGAGGGUGGGAUCUUCUGGAUCGAGGCUUGAGAUCUCUGCGCGAGGACCUCCUGCUGGAGAUUUCUGGGAUCGAGGUCUCUCCAGGAAAGUCUUUGGGUCCAUUACAAAUAUCUCGACACCCCUCCUAAAUUCAGGUUUUGAACAUUCCCGUUCUACUUGACAAAACUACAUGUCUUCCUUCUGGAAUUGGAAUUGUAUUUUGGACAUAUGUGUUUGCUUCUGGCUUUUACACUUGUGCUCUCAGAUGAACGGAUACAUACUGUAUUAUCUGUAAAAAUAGGCAAAGGCUCAGUUACAUUAACAUUUAAAUCUUGAAAUUAACGGUUUGAUCCACACUCAUUCAGCUAAUUCAUUAAAAGAACUCAUUCCUGCUUCUGUGUCACUCGUGGAAAUUCCUGUUUGUUUCCUGGACGUCCACAUCACAACAAGCCUCCCCCAGAUAGACUGCUAAACCAGAAAUUGCCUUUCUCUCUCCAGGAUCAGUUGCCCAGUCAGCAUCUGCAGAUGCUUUUAAUUCUAGACAGCUUCCAACCUUUGUGAUCCACAGUGCCCUUUAAAUACCUCAAUAACCUUUUUAGUCCAUUCCAAUGGUUGACUUGUGGCUUCACACACUUCAGACUAAAAUGUUAACACUGGCAGCGAUAUCAGGUCUUGUCCAUACUGAUAAAUACAACAACGACCAUAUCGCUAAUCGAUACAAGGGAAUGUUUUCAAAAUCUCCUGUAUCAUUAUCUUUAUAGAAGUCGGUCACCAUAGGAGUAGAAAUUUUGUUUGCUCCAGACUUGUUACAUUACUUAAGCAAAUUCUCUAUUUUAUCUUUUUGACUUAGAACAAAAUGCCCUCGUUCAGCCUUGCUCACAUGGACCUCUGGGUAAUUCUGAAUUUCUCCUAGAUACUUCAUUUUAAAGUGUUUGUUCAUGUUUUCCUGAAACCGCUCUACCUGGCUUUUGUUCUCCACAACAAUGCUGUUAACAAAACCUAGCUAUUUUAUGUUGGUGCCUCAAUUUAUAACUGUCCCAACUUGAGACUAAAUUGAGUUACGGCCAGCUCCGGUUGCAAAAUUUUGCUUUGACCUGUGACCAGGGCUUUGAGAUUCUACCGGGGGAAAAGGCCGGGAAGUUUGAACUGCUUUCCCUCCUUUUCUCCUUCAGUUAACCAUUGGUCAGCAAAGAAGCUGCUUCUUUGUAGCUCCUUCGACCCAGUGAUUAGAGAGUGUGCGUUCUGAUAGAGGCUUUGGACUGCCUGUUACUACUUUUAUUUUUGCUUUUUGGCUUUCUUUCUUUUUUUGCUCCUUUUCAUUGUAUACUGUUAUUAUUUUAUGGAUUGCUGUUAUGUGCCAAUAGUAGACGUCAGUCUAGAUGAGAGGGGUAUAUAUUAAAUAAAUCAAUAAAAUAAAUAAGGAAAGCA